rnacentral:rRNA from 1 species
GGAAGAAUGGUCUAUGGCCUGUAAACCUCUUUUGUCAGGGAAGAAUAAGGAUGACGAGUCAUUCGAUGCCAGUACUUGACGAAUAAGCAUCGGCUAACUCCGUGCCAGCAGCCGCGGUAAUACGGAGGAUGCGAGCGUUAUCCGGAUUUACUGGGUGUAAAGGGCGCGUAGGCGGGACGUCAAGUCAGCGGUAAAAGACUGCAGCUAAACUGUAGCACGCCGUUGAAACUGGCGCCCUGGAGACGAGACGAGGGAGGCGGAACAAGUGAAGUAGCGGUGAAAUGCAUAGAUAUCACUUGGAACCCCGAUAGCGAAGGCAGCUUCCCAGGCUCGAUCUGACGCUGAUGCGCGAGAGCGUGGGUAGCGAACAGGAUUAGAUACCCUGGUAGUCCACGCCGUAAACGAUGCUCACUGGAUCUUGGCGAUACACUGCCAGGGUUCAAGCGAAAGUAUUAAGUGAGCCACCUGGGGAGUACGUCGGCAACGAUGAAACUCAAAGGAAUUGACGGGGGCCCGCACAAGCGGAGGAACAUGUGGUUUAAUUCGAUGAUACGCGAGGAACCUUACCUGGGUUUAAAUGGGAAAUGCCGUAUUUGGAAACAGAUAUUCUCUUCGGAGCGUUUUUCAAGGUGCUGCAUGGUUGUCGUCAGCUCGUGCCGUGAGGUGUCGGGUUAAGUCCCAUAACGAGCGCAACCCUUACCGUUAGUUGCUAGCAUGUAAUGAUGAGCACUCUAACGGGACUGCCACCGUAAGGUGAGAGGAAGGCGGGGAUGACGUCAAAUCAGCACGGCCCUUACACCCAGGGCUACACACGUGUUACAAUGGCCGGUACAGAGGGCCGCUACCAGGUGACUGGAUGCCAAUCUCAAAAGCCGGUCGUAGUUCGGAUUGGAGUCUGUAACCCGACUCCAUGAAGUUGGAUUCGCUAGUAAUCGCGCAUCAGCCAUGGCGCGGUGAAUACGUUCCCGGGCCUUGUACACACCGCCCGUCAAGCCAUGGAAGCCGGGGGUGCCUGAAGUCCGUAACCGCGAGGAUCGGCCUAGGGCAAAACUGGUAACUGGGGCUAAGUCGUAACAAGGUAGCCGUACCGGAAGGUGCGGCUG